rnacentral:rRNA from 1 species
GAUGAACGCUGGCGGCGUGCCUAAUACAUGCAAGUCGAGCGAACAGACGAGGAGCUUGCUCCUCUGACGUUAGCGGCGGACGGGUGAGUAACACGUGGAUAACCUACCUAUAAGACUGGGAUAACUUCGGGAAACCGGAGCUAAUACCGGAUAAUAUAUUGAACCGCAUGGUUCAAUAGUGAAAGACGGUUUUGCUGUCACUUAUAGAUGGAUCCGCGCCGCAUUAGCUAGUUGGUAAGGUAACGGCUUACCAAGGCAACGAUGCGUAGCCGACCUGAGAGGGUGAUCGGCCACACUGGGACUGAGACACGGUCCAGACUCCUACGGGAGGCAGCAGUAGGGAAUCUUCCGCAAUGGGCGAAAGCCUGACGGAGCAACGCCGCGUGAGUGAUGAAGGUCUUCGGAUCGUAAAACUCUGUUAUUAGGGAAGAACAAAUGUGUAAGUAACUAUGCACGUCUUGACGGUACCUAAUCAGAAAGCCACGGCUAACUACGUGC